ACCAUGGUCACACCUCUUCAAGCAUGCAUUGAUGCUGUGUUGAGGUGAGGAGAAGCCACAAAGCCUUAUGCACCGCCUCACCCACUUCCUUUUCUUCUAUCUCUUGUUAAUAGUGCUUCUCAUUUUCUUUGAAACAAAACACGCACAACGUAGAAGAAGAACAGAGAAGGGAAGCAAAACAAAACUGAAGAGGAAGGAAGAAGCCAUCCGCAGCAAGAAGGAAGCCACCCCACCUCUCAUCACUCUGAAUCUUCGAAGCUUCUUUGUUGGUAGUGACCAUAGGCAAGAACUCUUCCCUUGCUUGAGGUGAGGUCAGCCAUUUGUUUUUGAAAGAGAGGCCAAAGCUCCAAUUCUAUACGGUUAGGGUUCUGAUUCCGGAAAGAAGUAAAAAUAGAAUUUUUAACUUCAAAAGAGACGGGUCCGGCAGAGGAAAUCUUUGAGUUUCGUUCUAACCGCUGAGCUAUGAGGAUCCGGCGCGCGGCGGAGUCUUCAUAUGGAGCACGUUUUGGACCUCUUUCUUGUACAAUGUUCGGAGAUCACUCCAGAGUUAGCCGCAGUGAAUCUUUCGCUCCUUUUUGAUGAUCUUAGUAUUACUUCCCCUCGCUUUUGUAGUACUUUUAGAGGGGUAGGACGUCUUAGUAGUUCGGUUCCAGUUUAGGAAACCCGUGUGAGGGUUGGGACUGAUUUUCUUUUUUUGUAUCUGUACAUAUAACUUGGUGUGAUACUCGGCUUUGAUAGAUGACACGUAUCCUUGAACUUAACUCGUGUAUAUUGUAUAUAUGUUUAUAUAUGUUAUUUUUG